rnacentral:rRNA from 1 species
UCGAGCGAGUCUGCCUUGAAGAUCGGAGUGCUUGCACUCUGUGAAACAAGAUACAGGCUAGCGGCGGACGGGUGAGUAACACGUGGGUAACCUGCCCAAGAGAUCGGGAUAACACCUGGAAACAGAUGCUAAUACCGGAUAACAACAGAUGAUGCCUAUCAACUGUUUAAAAGAUGGUUCUGCUAUCACUCUUGGAUGGACCUGCGGUGCAUUAGCUAGUUGGUAGGGUAACGGCCUACCAAGGCGAUGAUGCAUAGCCGAGUUGAGAGACUGAUCGGCCACAUUGGGACUGAGACACGGCCCAAACUCCUACGGGAGGCAGCAGUAGGGAAUCUUCCACAAUGGACGCAAGUCUGAUGGAGCAACGCCGCGUGAGUGAAGAAGGGUUUCGGCUCGUAAAGCUCUGUUGUUGGUGAAGAAGGACAGGGGUAGUAACUGACCUUUGUUUGACGGUAAUCAAUUAGAAAGUCACGGCUAACUACGUGCCAGCAGCCGCGGUAAUACGUAGGUGGCAAGCGUUGUCCGGAUUUAUUGGGCGUAAAGCGAGUGCAGGCGGUUCGAUAAGUCUGAUGUGAAAGCCUUCGGCUCAACCGGAGAAUUGCAUCAGAAACUGUCGAGCUUGAGUACAGAAGAGGAGAGUGGAACUCCAUGUGUAGCGGUGAAAUGCGUAAAUAUAUGGAAGAACACCGGUGGCGAAGGCGGCUCUCU